CCUUCUUGCUCUAUUCUGAAGACAGCUCCUACGACACUAAUUCAAGGAUCAGUGGCUGGAUUCGAGAAAAAAUGGAAAACGGUUGUUGCAAGGGUGUCAACUGCUUGGAAUGCUGCCGGCAACCGGGUUCUGAGACUCCCUAGGCUUUCUGAAAGCAUCUGAAUGUCUGUCCAACUGCAAGCUACGUCAUGGAAACAGGACCGCCCUGAGGGGCUCUCCAAUAUGAAUGCCAGGGCUGCCAGAUUCCACAGACAAGAAUAAAGGGCAUCCAGUGAAUUCUGAAUUUCAGAGAAGCAGCAUUUUUUUCAUUAAAACCCUCUCCAAGCCAUGAGAUGGAAGAGUGUCCUUAUAUGAAGACUGCUGGAGUUCCAUUGGCUGGAAGUGCCUCAGGCUGUGGCUGGUGUUUGAAGGGCUGCUCCACACAUAUCAAUCAUCCUUUGACAAGAUCUGGAAGAAAAAAAAAAACAACAAAAACCACCCCCCAAAAAGGAAAAUAACAAGAGGAAGAAUUCGUCUUCAUGAAUUGAAUUGUCAGUUCUGCAGACAAUUAUCAAAAAUUUUACAGGAACACCUUGAGAGAUGUCGAAGUGUUUAUUUCAACAGCCCAAAGAAGAGAACCACAAUAUGGACACUCUCUGUCUUCACAAAUCCCCCAACGCAUGUUUUAUUCAACCUUCCAAUUUUUAGACAAAGAUUCUUGUUAGCCUCAUGAAAGACCUGGAUACUGGGGGAAAGAUGGUAUCAUAUUUUCAAUUAUGAUCAACUCACCUAAUCUGACGGAAGUGGUAAGAAGGAAGCUGGUGUGUAUGCUGAUUGUGAUUUUGAGAAUAAACUCUUACUUCUAAAC
ensembl:lncRNA ROCR regulator of chondrogenesis RNA